GAUGAAGAACGUAGUGAAAUGCGAUAAGUAAUGUGAAUUGCAGAAUUCAGUGAAUCAUCGAGUCUUUGAACGCACAUUGCGCCCCCUGGCAUUCCUGGGGGCAUGCCUGUCCGAGCGUCAUUGCUGCCCUUCAAGCCCGGCUUGUGUGUUGGGUCGUCGUCCCCCCCGGGGGACGGGCCCGAAAGGCAGCGGCGGCACCGCGUCCGGUCCUCGAGCGUAUGGGGCUUUGUCACCCGCUCGAUUAGGGCCGGCCGGGCGCCAGCCGGCGUCUCCAACCUUCUAUUUUACCAGGUUGACCUCGGAUCAGGUAGGGAUACCCGCUGAACUUAAGCAUAUCAAUAAGCGGAGGA
rnacentral:misc_RNA from 1 species